UUACGGCCAUAUCACGUUGAAACACCGGUUCUCAUACGAUCACUACAGUUAAGCAAUAUCGAUACUAGACAGUACCUAGAUGGGUGACCACUUGAAAAUACCAGGUGCU